rnacentral:rRNA from 1 species
AUACGUAGGGUGCAAGCGUUAAUCGGAAUUACUGGGCGUAAAGCGUGCGCAGGCGGUUUUGUAAGACAGUGGUGAAAUCCCCGGGCUCAACCUGGGAACUGCCAUUGUGACUGCAAGGCUGGAGUGCGGCAGAGGGGGAUGGAAUUCCGAGUGUAGCAGUGAAAUGCGUAGAUAUGCGGAGGAACACCGAUGGCGAAGGCAAUCCCCUGGGCCUGCACUGACGCUCAUGCACGAAAGCGUGGGGAGCAAACAGGAUUAGAUACCCUGGUAGUCCACGCCCUAAACGAUGUCAACUGGUUGUUGGGGAUUUAUUUUCUCAGUAACGAAGCUAACGCGUGAAGUUGACCGCCUGGGGAGUACGGCCGCAAGGUUAAAACUCAAAUGAAUUGGCGGGG